rnacentral:rRNA from 1 species
AGUGAACGCUGGCGGUAGGCCUAACACAUGCAAGUCGAACGGCAGCACAGUAAGAGCUUGCCCUUACGGGUGGCGAGUGGCGGACGGGUGAGGAAUACAUCGGAAUCUACUUUUUCGUGGGGGGUAACGUAGGGAAACUUACGCUAAUACCGCAUACCACCUACGGGUGAAAGCAGGGGAUCUUCGGACCUUGCGCGAUCGAAUGAGCCGAUGUCGGAUUAGCUAGUUGGCGGGGUAAAGGCCCACCAAGGCGACGAUCCGUAGCUGGUCUGAGAGGAUGAGCAGCCACACUGGAACUGAGACACGGUCCAGACUCCUACGGGAGGCAGCGGUGGGGAAUAUUGGACAAUGGGCGCAAGCCUGAUCCAGCCAUACCGCGUGGGUGAAGAAGGCCUUCGGGUUGUAAAGCCCUUUUGUUGGGAAAGAAAAGCAGCAGGUUAAUACCACGCUGUUCUGACGGUACCCAAAGAAUAAGCACCGGCUAACUUCGUG